rnacentral:rRNA from 1 species
CGGACGGGUGAGUAAUGCCUGGGAAACUGCCCGAUGGAGGGGGAUAACUACUGGAAACGGUAGCUAAUACCGCAUAACGUCGCAAGACCAAAGAGGGGGACCUUAGGGCCUCUUGCCAUCGGAUGUGCCCAGAUGGGAUUAGCUAGUAGGUGGGGUAAUGGCUCACCUAGGCGACGAUCCCUAGCUGGUCUGAGAGGAUGACCAGCCACACUGGAACUGAGACACGGUCCAG